rnacentral:lncRNA from 1 species
UUUCGUCCUUACGCGGUACGUGUGCUCUCGCGGCGCGCGCGUACGUCUCCGUCGCGUUCAGGUGCGCUCGUGAUCCUGUGCGGAAAACGCGGCGGAAACGCGCGCCGCGUGUGUGCACCGGAAAGAGGGAAAACCUGCCGAUCUCCUGCCAGGUGCGACCGGUGAGAGUCUCCUCGCUCCUUCUCUUGAUCCGCGUCGGCGCGUCAUCGUCGAGCGCGUACAUCGCCUCGGCGUACGCGCUUUCCCGAGCCGACGUUCCGCGCUUCACCGAUCGCGGCGGAGCCCUUUCGAUCGGCGACCCAAGAGGCGUUUCUUGAAAUUGUAAAUUCCGGAAAAUAUUGUAGGCGAAGCAUUUAAUGUCUUUAUCGGUUGUUUCUGUUUUUGGAUUUUGUCUUGUUACGAGAAACUUAAAAUAUUAAUCCCUAGUUUGGCACAAUGAUCGUCCUUUCAACCGUACAAGCGGCGAACGAACGCUCUUUGAAAUCCGGAUCCGGAUGAUCACUCCAAGUGAAAGAUGAUCAUCUAGAAAGAUUAAAAUCAGAGUACAAGUGGUGGGAACGAGUGUCGUUAUCGUCGGUUUCUCGGAUAUCAAAGAUUACGAAGAACCUGACGAGGAGGUGCGCGCAGCUGCUGUUCGCUGAAAGUAGUUUCAGUCGUAGCUUCGGGCAGUUCCAUGCGUUCGAGAGGGAGGGAUAGUUCGACAGUUCGCGAGAGUUCAGUGCGUUUACCGAAAAAGGAAUAAGUCGCAUCCGGCUUGUGUAUGGAUUGUGCAGUGCAGUGACACGUAAGGUGGAUAGUGGAUCCACGCACAAAUCUACGAUCGAAAAAAAGCGUCGACCGUCAACGGCUGCGCUCCAGGGAACGUCGCUCCUCGUCGUUUCGAAUCAAGAGGGAGUUUCACGCUCGUUUCCGAUUACGUACUUGGAGAGGGAGAAACGAGGAUUGAAAGAAAGUGAGGGAGAGAGAGAAAGAGAGAGAAACAAAGACGAAGAGGACAGCAAACGAGAGAACGGAGGAUGCUGGAUGCCGUGAGACCGUUCGUCGAAGCAAUAGCCGAGAUCACAGCGGAGGUGAGUGUCCGCUCUUUCUGUUGAGUUGCGUUGUUUCUCGUCUACCGCGUCGAGAAACGAGGGAGCCCUUCUCAUCCGAUUAGAGCUCCACGAUACCGGAUAAUAUCGUCGUCGUUGUUUUCCUGUUGGGAAAGUCAGUGGGCGAACUGCGAUUUGCCUCGUGAGAAGUAGCUCAUACUGCGUGGAAUGAGUAGCAAGUUCGUUGCUUUCACGAAAGUCGAUUGAUCUCCGCGUCGAUCACGGGCGCUCUAUAAAUCAUCGCUUAGUCCAACUUAAAUUUGAUCGAGCUUUGAUCGAGCAGCCCGAGGCAUUUUCUGGUGCUUUCGUGGCGGUUCUGGCUGUCUCGUCUCUCGUCUGACAAUUCGACGAUCGAGGAGCGCUGUACACGAACCCGUUUCGUAGUUCGCCGAUUUCUCGGCGUAGCGGAAUUCGAUUAAGCAAAGUGCAGUUGCGCUUUGCGGAAAAUAACGCAAUUAAGCAUGCCGAACAUGGCGCUGGUCAAGCAGAGUGUAAUCUACACCUGGCCAAAAUUAACGAGAAACAUUUCUUAGUCCACUCGUGUGCUCGUAAGCACC